rnacentral:rRNA from 1 species
AUUGAACGCUGGCGGAAUGCUUUACACAUGCAAGUCGAACGGUAGAGGGGGCAACCCCUCGAGAGUGGCGAACGGGUGAGUAAUAUAUCGGAACGUGCCCAGUCGUGGGGGAUAACGUAGCGAAAGUUACGCUAAUACCGCAUACGAUCGAAGGAGGAAAGCGGGGGAUCGCAAGACCUCGCGCGAUUGGAGCGGCCGAUAUCAGAUUAGGUAGUUGGUGGGGUAAAGGCUCACCAAGCCAACGAUCUGUAGCUGGUCUGAGAGGACGACCAGCCACACUGGAACUGAGACACGGUCCAGACUCCUACGGGAGGCAGCAGUGGGGAAUUUUGGACAAUGGACGCAAGUCUGAUCCAGCCAUUCCGCGUGCAGGAUGAAGGCCCUCGGGUUGUAAACUGCUUUUGUACGGAACGAAAAGGUCUCUCUUAAUACGGGGGACUCAUGACGGUACCGUAAGAAUAAGCACCGGCUAACUACGUGCCAGCCGCCGCAGUAA